rnacentral:rRNA from 1 species
GCGGGGAGGCGGGCGGUCGCGGAGAGCCCCGUGCUAGUGGUGGGGAGGCGCGGGUGCUGCCUCAGCCAUGUGGUGAAGCGGCUGCUGCAGGGGCUCGGGGUGAACCCCGCCAUGCACGAGGUCGCCGACGAGGCCGAGCUCGCCAUGGCGGCCGUCGUCGCGCUGCCGGCCGUGUUCGUGGGUGGGCGGCUCCUCGGCGGGCUCGACCGGCUCAUGGCCGUGCACAUCUCCAGCGAGCUGGUCCCCAUACUCAAGGACGCCGGCGCGCUCUGGCUCUGA